rnacentral:lncRNA from 1 species
GGACAAUCAGAAGUGGAUGCCAAUGGGGCAAUUCCCAAUGGGCUGAGUGACACCAGGGCCCUGCUGUUGGGUGCUGCUGUUCUGGGCGCAGACUGAGAAGAAUUCAACUUACAUUUUCAAUGGAUGGAGGAAAGGAAAUACCAAUUUUGUACAAAGUGUAAUCCACAAACAGCAACCCAGUACUUCAGGACGGCCCAGAGAACCUUGGAGGGACUUUCAGAGAAGCUUUUCUUCCUGAACUCUUGGGGAGUGUCUCUCCUUUCUGAAAGCUUUGUUUCUUACAAUGCCAGCCAGCGUCUUUUUGAAAGGCAGCCGCCUCAGGUUAUAAGAUGGAGUGUCUCUCAAACUUCAAUGUGCAGAAAAAUCACCUGGGGAUCUUAUUAAAAUGCAGAA